UUUUUGCAAUAACAUCAGUAGAACACACAGUACUAUUUGCACUAGUCUCACCUAUUUCUUUGGCAACUAUUCGCAGUUUAUCAUCAGAUCUGCUCACCAGGACAACAUCCAGGCCUCUACUUGCCAGCUAGAAGGAGACAUGCGGACCGACAGAGAGGAGCCAAGCUGCAAAUGUGAAGCUGGGAUUCUUUCUGCAACCAUUUCCACCUUUUUAGAUUUGCUUGUGAAACUUUGAACAGAAAAUGAAGAUGGAAAACUGACUCAAAGGUUUUGAAUGUUUGCAGCCAGUGAGACGCCUGAGUCCCAUCCAAUAUAUGAACUGCUUAUCACAGCCCUUAUCAAACAGGCCUCACAAAGAGGAAGCCUGCUGUGUGCUGCUGCAGAUGCGUAAUGAAAGGGAACCUAAAUAUUCCCACACUUCAGUUUCCUGACGACGUUCGAUUGUUAACUUAUGAUCUUCUCCACAACAGACGCUCACAUGAACUGCACUGUCAACAUGUGGCACUGGCAGCUUCUUCUCCUACACACAUACAGUGAUAGAUGCUGUCCAUUUUUUGUUUUUUCUAUUAAAGCAACCUGUCAUUAAGUUUAUUUUAUUUGACUUUACCUGCCCAUUGC